rnacentral:RNase_P_RNA from 1 species
GCGGAGGGCUGGAUGACCGCGUGACCCGCAGUCACCUGCGCGGUUGCGAGGAAAGUCCGGACUCCAUGAGGCGACGGUGCCGGGUAACGCCCGGCGGGGGCAACCCCAGGGAAAGCGCCACAGAGAACAGACCGCCCUGCAUCCGCAGGGUAAGGGUGAAACGGUGGGGUAAGAGCCCACCGGGGGGCCGGCAACGGAACCCGCAUGGCAAGCCCCACCGGGAGCAAUGCCGAAUAGGGAUCGCGCGCGGGGAAACCUGCAGGGCCGCCUUGCCCCAGCAGAUCCGGGUAGGCAGCUUGAUCCGGCCGGUAACGGCCGGACCAGAGGAAUGGUCAUCCAUCCGGGGGCGACUCCGGAGGACAGAAUCCGGCUUACAGGCCCUCCGCGCAA